rnacentral:rRNA from 1 species
UACGUAGGGUGCAAGCGUUGUCCGGAAUUAUUGGGCGUAAAGAGCGUGUAGGCGGCCCGAUUAGUCCGCUGUGAAAGUCCAGGGCUCAACCCUGGAAUGCCGGUGGAUACUGUCGGGCUAGAGUCCGGAAGGGGCGAGUGGAAUUCCUGGUGUAGCGGUGAAAUGCGCAGAUAUCAGGAGGAACACCAAUGGCGAAGGCAGCUCGCUGGGACGUGACUGACGCUGAGGCGCGAAAGCCAGGGGAGCAAACGGG